rnacentral:tRNA from 1 species
GCGGAUAUGGCGUAAUUGGUAGCCGCGCUAGACUUAGGAUCUAGUGCCGAAAGGCGUGGGGGUUCGAGUCCCUCUAUCCGCAC